rnacentral:rRNA from 1 species
UUGGUUAAGUUAGAAAGGGCGCACGGUGGAUGCCUUGGCACUAGGAGCCGAAGAAGGACGGGACUAACACCGAUAUGCUUUGGGGAGCUGUACGUAAGCGUUGAUCCAGAGAUUUCCGAAUGGGGGAACCCACUAUCUUUAGUCGGAUAGUAUCCUUACGUGAAUACAUAGCGUGAGGAAGGCAGACCCAGGGAACUGAAACAUCUAAGUACCUGGAGGAAGAGAAAGAAAAAUCGAUUUCCUGAGUAGCGGCGAGCGAAACGGAAAGAGCCCAAACCAAGAAGCUUGCUUCUUGGGGUUGUAGGACACUCUAUACGGAGUUACAAAAGAAAGUUAUAAAUGAAGCGGUCUGGAAAGGCCCGCCAAAGACGGUAACAGCCCGGUAGUUGAAAUGGCUUUCCCUCCAGAGUGGAUCCUGAGUACGGCGGAACAUGUGAAAUUCCGUCGGAAUCCGGGAGGACCAUCUCCCAAGGCUAAAUACUCCCUAGUGACCGAUAGUGAACCAGUACCGUGAGGGAAAGGUGAAAAGCACCCCGGAAGGGGAGUGAAACAGUUCCUGAAACCGUGUGCCUACAAGUAGUUAGAGCCCGUUAAUGGGUGAUAGCGUGCCUUUUGUAGAAUGAACCGGCGAGUUACGAUUUGUUGCAAGGUUAAGCGGAAAAAGCGGAGCCGUAGCGAAAGCGAGUCUGAAUAGGGCGCAUAAGUAACAGGUCGUAGACCCGAAACCAGGUGAUCUACCCAUGUCCAGGAUGAAGGUAAGGUAAUACUUACUGGAGGUCCGAACCCACGCACGUUGAAAAGUGCGGGGAUGAGGUGUGGGUAGCGGAGAAAUUCCAAUCGAACUUGGAGAUAGCUGGUUCUCUCCGAAAUAGCUUUAGGGCUAGCCUCGAGGUAAAGAGUCAUGGAGGUAGAGCACUGUUUGGACUAGGGGCCCUUCUCGGGUUACCGAAUUCAGAUAAACUCCGAAUGCCAUGUACUUAUACUCGGGAGUCAGACUGCGAGUGAUAAGAUCCGUAGUCGAAAGGGAAACAGCCCAGACCACCAGUUAAGGUCCCCAAAUAUAUGUUAAGUGGAAAAGGAUGUGGGGUUGCUUAGACAACCAGGAUGUUGGCUUAGAAGCAGCCACCAUUGAAAGAGUGCGUAAUAGCUCACUGGUCGAGUGACCCCGCGCCGAAAAUGUACCGGGGCUAAACAUAUUACCGAAACUGUGGAUGAACCUCUUUAGAGGUUCGUGGUAGGAGAGCGUUCUAAGGGCGGUGAAGUCAGACCGGAAGGACUGGUGGAGCGCUUAGAAGUGAGAAUGCCGGUAUGAGUAGCGAAAGAAGGGUGAGAAUCCCUUCCACCGAAUAUCUAAGGUUUCCUGAGGAAGGCUCGUCCGCUCAGGGUUAGUCGGGACCUAAGCCGAGGCCGAUAGGCGUAGGCGAUGGACAACAGGUAGAGAUUCCUGUACCAGUGCUAAUUGUUUAACCGAUGGGGUGACACAGAAGGAUAGGGAAUCGCACGAAUGGAAAUGUGCGUCCAAGCAGUGAGUGUGAGAAGUAGGCAAAUCCGCUUCUCGCGAAGCAUGAGCUGUGAUGGGGAAGGAAAUUAAGUACGGAAGUUCCUGAUUUCACGCUGUCAAGAAAAGCCUCUAGGAAGAGUAGUACUGCCCGUACCGCAAACCGACACAGGUAGAUGAGGAGAGAAUCCUAAGGUGAGCGAGAGAACUCUCGUUAAGGAACUCGGCAAAAUGACCCCGUAACUUCGGGAGAAGGGGUGCUCUAUUAGGGUGCAAGCCCGAGAGAGCCGCAGUGAAUAGGCCCAGGCGACUGUUUAGCAAAAACACAGGUCUCUGCAAAACCGUAAGGUGACGUAUAGGGGCUGACGCCUGCCCGGUGCUGGAAGGUUAAGAGGAGUGCUUAGCUUCGGCGAAGGUACGAAUUGAAGCCCCAGUAAACGGCGGCCGUAACUAUAACGGUCCUAAGGUAGCGAAAUUCCUUGUCGGGUAAGUUCCGACCCGCACGAAAGGCGCAACGAUCUGGGCACUGUCUCAACGAGAGACUCGGUGAAAUUAUAGUACCUGUGAAGAUGCAGGUUACCCGCGACAGGACGGAAAGACCCCGUGGAGCUUUACUGCAACCUGAUAUGGAAUGUUUGUACCGCUUGUACAGGAUAGGUAGGAGCCGAAGAGACGUGUGCGCUAGCAUACGAGGAGGCAAUGGUGGGAUACUCCCCUGGCUGUAUGACCAUUCUAACCCGCCACGCUUAGCGCGUGGGGAGACAGUGUCAGGUGGGCAGUUUGACUGGGGCGGUCGCCUCCUAAAGAGNGUAAAGGCACAAGGGAGCUUGACUGCGAGACUGACAAGUCGAGCAGGGACGAAAGUCGGGCUUAGUGAUCCGGUGGUUCCGCAUGGAAGGGCCAUCGCUCAACGGAUAAAAGCUACCCCGGGGAUAACAGGCUUAUCUCCCCCAAGAGUCCACAUCGACGGGGAGGUUUGGCACCUCGAUGUCGGCUCGUCGCAUCCUGGGGCUGUAGUCGGUCCCAAGGGGUGGGCUGUUCGCCCAUUAAAGCGGCACGCGAGCUGGGUUCAGAACGUCGUGAGACAGUUCGGUCCCUAUCCGUCGCGGGCGCAGGAAAUUUGAGAGGAGCUGUCCUUAGUACGAGAGGACCGGGAUGGACACACCGCUGGUGUACCAGUUGUUCCGCCAGGAGCAUCGCUGGGUAGCUAUGUGUGGCAGGGAUAAACGCUGAAAGCAUCUAAGCGUGAAGCCCCCCUCAAGAUGAGAUUUCCCAUUUCUUCGGAAAGUAAGAUCCCUGAAAGAUGAUCAGGUAGAUAGGUUUGGAGUGGAAGUGUAGCGAUACAUGGAGCGGACAAAUACUAAUCGAUCGAGGACUUAACCAAAA